rnacentral:lncRNA from 1 species
AUUGUUAGGCACCAGCUCAAGCAAUCAGGCUUUCUUUGUAUUAGCUGAAAAACAAGGAAAUCGCACAUCCACGCCUAACUGCCUCACACCUGUGCUUGCAAAAGUGGCAGAAGCACUGAGCAUCUUGUGACUAAUCUGGAAAAUUGUCUACUUCAAGCAAAGUGACUUUCAGUGUUUCAGAUCUCCCUCUUCUCCCACCCUCAUGGAAGCUUUGCUUCUUUUCAUCUUAUAGUCAAAUAUUGAUCCACUCGACCUGUCCUCGAGGUUUUGAUUAACACAGAAGAUUGCCACGCCGAAGGUGCAGCUCUUCUUAUGGAGAUAGCAGAGACACAAGAGACCAAGCUCAACUACACAAGCAUAUUUCAUGUCUCUGCUUACGUCACAUCUGUCAUUAUCCCAUUGGCCAAGGUGGAAGGAUCAAUAGCUGAGUGUGUCUUCGGGAACUAAGUGACAAAACAACACUAACAUACUCCAGUGAAAAGCACCACAUUUCUCUAGCCAUGGUCAAUAUUUGAAGGUGGCAAAACACAGAGAAUCCUGUUUGCAUCUGAUCUGCUCACUGCAAUAUAACACGUGCAUAAAACAGUGCAACCGUAUUUGUUUUAAUAAGGCCAUUCUGAGCAGCUGUUUAAUGAUCCAUGAUGUUAAAUGAAAACUACAGGUGUUCCAAAUGCAAACCUUAUGGCCCAGGGCCCCCCUUAUUACCGUUCUACAAUUAGCAGCCAACUGCUCUUAGGCUGUGCAAAGAAUUACCACCAUCAUCAUUACAUUAUUUCUUAAUUUCAUUCUCUGCCUAAGUGUCUUCCCCCAAAGGAAAAACCUGCUUGGCAUGGGAAAGCAUAAGAGUGAAAAAAUGAAAAGGGAAGGAGAACACAAAACACUCCCUGUCCAACCACAAGGAGGCCUCAGUGAAGGGGGAAAGAGCCAGCCAAAAGGCUCAGCCCCCUAAGGAAUCUUCCAGAGUGACUUUCUGGCCAAACUUAACAAAGUCUUGCUGAAACUAUUGGUGUUCAUAAGGAUUGCAUUAACCCUUUCUUCUUCAUGAUUCCCUAAGCUUAAUACUGUGCUAAGCCAAAUUGCCAGAAAGCUGCAUAGCUGGAUUCCAUCGCUCUGUCUUGUAGAGGGCUAAUUUUAUGCAAGUAUAAUUUUAACAUCACAACAGUUUUCACUUAAGGUACAUAUAAUAAACUGCAAAGAAGGAAGUCUUCUGUAUCACUUGUGAAAUUGCUGUCUGUAUCAUUAUCCAUUACAUACCUCAAUACCUCUUACAUAAAAAUGCCAGAGACAAAUUUAAUUAGAGCUCGG